CAAUACAGGGCUAAUGUCUUGUAAUUGGAAUGAUGGUGACCCAAACCCUCACCAGAGUAGCAAUUGGAGGGCAAGUCUGGUGCCAGCAGCCGCGGUAAUUCCAGCUCCAAUAGCGUAUAUUAAACUUGUUGCAGUUAAAAAGCUCGUAGUUGAAUUUUAGCGUGUUCGAGUUUGCCAUUCGUUUGGCUUUUUCGAGUUCGCUUUUGGGUUUUCCCUUUUUACUUUGAGAAAAUUAGAGUGUUUCAAGCAGACUUUUGUCUUGAAUACUUCAGCAUGGAAUAAUAGAGUAGGACUUUGGUUCUAUUUUGUUGGUUAUUGAACCUUAGUAA
rnacentral:rRNA from 1 species